UACGUAGGGUGCAAGCGUUGUCCGGAAUUAUUGGGCGUAAAGAGCUCGUAGGCGGUUUGUCGCGUCUGGUGUGAAAAUCCAGGGCUUAACCCUGGACCUGCAUCGGGUACGGGCAGACUAGAGUGCGGUAGGGGAGAUCGGAAUUCCUGGUGUAGCGGUGAAAUGCGCAGAUAUCAGGAGGAACACCGGUGGCGAAGGCGGGUCUCUGGACAGUUCCUGACGCUGAGGAGCGAAAGCGUGGGGAGCGAACAGG
rnacentral:rRNA from 1 species